rnacentral:rRNA from 1 species
CCUACGGGCGGCAGCAGUGAGGAAUAUUGGUCAAUGGGCGAGAGCCUGAACCAGCCAAGUCGCGUGAAGGAUGACGGACCUAUGGUUUGUAAACUUCUUUUAUAUGGGAAUAAAGUGAGGAACGUGUUCCUUUUUGUAUGUACCUUAUGAAUAAGCAUCGGCUAACUCCGUGCCAGCAGCCGCGGUAAUACGGAGGAUGCGAGCGUUAUCCGGAUUUAUUGGGUUUAAAGGGAGCGUAGGUGGUUUGUUAAGUCAGCUGUGAAAGUUUGGGGCUCAACCAUAAAAUUGCAGUUGAUACUGGUUGACUUGAGUAUAUUUGAGGUAGGCGGAAUUCGUGGUGUAGCGGUGAAAUGCAUAGAUAUCACGCAGAACUCCGAUUGCGAAGGCAGCUUACUAAACUGUAACUGACACUGAAGCACGAAAGUGUGGGGAUCAAACAGGAUUAGAUACCCUUGUAGUC